rnacentral:rRNA from 1 species
GACGGACCGUACAAACGUUAUUCGGAAUUACUGGGCUUAAAGGGUGCGUAGGCGGCUCAGAAAGUUGAAUGUGAAAGCCCUCGGCUUAACCGAGGAAUUGCAUCCAAAACUACUGGGCUUGAGUGAGACAGAGGUGAGCGGAACUCACGGUGGAGCGGUGAAAUGCGUUGAUAUCGUUUGGAACGCCAAUGGUGAAAACAGCUCGCUGGGGAUGUGCCGACGCUGAGAUACGAAAGCCAGGGGAGCGAACGGG